rnacentral:rRNA from 1 species
UACGUAGGGUGCAAGCGUUAUCCGGAUUUAUUGGGCGUAAAGAGCUCGUAGGCGGUUUGGCGCGUCUGCUGUGAAAACUGGGGGCUCAACCCCCAGCCUGCAGUGGGUACGGGCAGACUAGAGUGCGGUAGGGGAGAUUGGAAUUCCUGGUGUAGCGGUGGAAUGCGCAGAUAUCAGGAGGAACACCGAUGGCGAAGGCAGAUCUCUGGGCCGUAACUGACGCUGAGGAGCGAAAGCAUGGGGAGCGAACAGG